rfam:Sus scrofa breed Duroc isolate TJ Tabasco Contig13_1, whole genome shotgun sequence.
UCCCUGGUGGUCUAGUGGUUAGGACUUGGUGCUUUCACCACUACGGCCAGGGUUCAAUGCCUGGUCCAGGAA